CUAAGUAUAAGCAACUAUACGGUGAAACUGCGAAUGGCUCAUUAAAUCAGUUAUCGUUUAUUUGAUAGUACCUUACUACAUGGAUAACCGUGGUAAUUCUAGAGCUAAUACAUGCUAAAAACCUCGACUUCGGAAGGGGUGUAUUUAUUAGAUAAAAAACCAAUGCCCUUCGGGGCUCCUNGGUGAAUCAUAAUAACUUAACGAAUCGCAUGGCCUUGCGCCGGCGAUGGUUCAUUCAAAUUUCUGCCCUAUCAACUUUCGAUGGUAGGAUAGUGGCCUACCAUGGUAUCAACGGGUAACGGGGAAUUAGGGUUCGACUCCGGAGAGGGAGCCUGAGAAACGGCUACCACAUCCAAGGAAGGCAGCAGGCGCGCAAAUUACCCAAUCCCGACACGGGGAGGUAGUGACAAUAAAUACUGAUACAGGGCUCUUUUGGGUCUUGUAAUUGGAAUGAGUACAAUUUAAAUCCCUUAACGAGGAACAAUUGGAGGGCAAGUCUGGUGCCAGCAGCCGCGGUAAUUCCAGCUCCAAUAGCGUAUAUUAAAGUUGUUGCAGUUAAAAAGCUCGUAGUUGAACCUUGGGCCUGGCUGGCCGGUCCGCCUCACCGCGUGUACUGGUCCGGCCGGGCCUUUCCUUCUGGGGAACCUCAUGCCCUUCACUGGGCGUGUUGGGGAACCAGGACUUUUACUUUGAAAAAAUUAGAGUGUUCAAAGCAGGCCUUUGCUCGAAUACAUUAGCAUGGAAUAAUAGAAUAGGACGUGUGGUUCUAUUUUGUUGGUUUCUAGGACCGCCGUAAUGAUUAAUAGGGAUAGUCGGGGGCAUCAGUAUUCAAUCGUCAGAGGUGAAAUUCUUGGAUUGAUUGAAGACUAACUACUGCGAAAGCAUUUGCCAAGGAUGUUUUCAUUAAUCAGUGAACGAAAGUUAGGGGAUCGAAGACGAUCAGAUACCGUCGUAGUCUUAACCAUAAANNAUGCCGACUAGGGAUCGGACGGUGUUAGUAUUUUGACCCGUUCGGCACCUUACGAGAAAUCAAAGUUUUUGGGUU
rnacentral:rRNA from 1 species